UACGUAGGGUGCAAGCGUUAAUCGGAAUUACUGGGCUUAAAGCGUGCGCAGGCGGCUUUGCAAGACAGAUGUGAAAUCCCCGGGCUCAACCUGGGAACUGCAUUUGUGACUGCAUGGCUGGAGUGCGGCAGAGGGGGAUGGAAUUCCGCGUGUAGCAGUGAAAUGCGUAGAUAUGCGGAGGAACACCGAUGGCGAAGGCAAUCCCCUGGGCCUGCACUGACGCUCAUGCACGAAAGCGUGGGGAGCAAACAGG
rnacentral:rRNA from 1 species